rnacentral:rRNA from 1 species
UACGGAGGGUGCGAGCGUUGUCCGGAAUCAUUGGGCGUAAAGGGCGCGUAGGUGGCCCGGUCAGCGUGCGGUGAAAGCUCGGGGCUCAACCCCGAGUCGGCCGUGCGAACUGCUGGGCUCGAGCACUGUAGAGGCAGGCGGAAUUCCGGGUGUAGCGGUGGAAUGCGUAGAGAUCCGGAAGAACAUCGGUGGCGAAGGCGCUCUGCUGGACCAUAACUGACACUCAGGGACGAAAGCUAGGGGAGCGAAUGGG